CCUACGGGAGGCAGCAGUGAGGAAUAUUGGUCAAUGGACGCGAGUCUGAACCAGCCAAGUAGCGUGAAGGAUGACUGCCCUCGGGGUUGUAAACUUCUUUUAUAUGGGAAUAAAAUGGUGCACGUGUGGGAUUUUGUAUUUAUCAUAUGAAUAAGGAUCGGCUAACCUCGUGCCAGCAGCCGCGGUAAUACGGAGGAGCCGAGCGGUAUCCGGAUUGUGUGGGUUUAGAGGGAGCGUAGGUGGAUUGUUAAGUCAGUUGUGAAAGGUUGCGGCUCAACCGUAAAAUUGCAGUUGAAACUGGCAGUCUUGAGUACAGUAGAGGUGGGCGGAAUUCGUGGUGUGGCGGUGAAAUGCUUAG
rnacentral:rRNA from 1 species